GGGCGUGUGGCUCAGUUGGUAGAGCGUUCGCUUAGCAUGCCCAACUCCUCGGACUUCCCCAGGUUCAAGGAUCAGUGUAUGCGAAAGGUCCUGGGUUCGAUUCCCAGCUCGUCCA